rnacentral:rRNA from 1 species
UGGGGAAUUUUGGACAAUGGGCGAAAGCCUGAUCCAGCAAUGCCGCGUGUGUGAAGAAGGCCUUCGGGUUGUAAAGCACUUUUGUCCGGAAAGAAAUCCUUGGCUCUAAUACAGUCGGGGGAUGACGGUACCGGAAGAAUAAGCACCGGCUAACUACGUGCCAGCAGCCGCGGUAAUACGUAGGGUGCAAGCGUUAAUCGGAAUUACUGGGCGUAAAGCGUGCGCAGGCGGUUUGCUAAGACCGAUGUGAAAUCCCCGGGCUCAACCUGGGAACUGCAUUGGUGACUGGCAGGCUAGAGUAUGGCAGAGGGGGGUAGAAUUCCACGUGUAGCAGUGAAAUGCGUAGAGAUGUGGAGGAAUACCGAUGGCGAAGGCAGCCCCCUGGGCCAAUACUGACGCUCAUGCACGAAAGCGUGGGGAGCAAAACAGGAUUAGAUACCCUGGUAGUCCACGCCCUAAACGAUGUCAACUAGUUGUUGGGGAUUCAUUUCCUUAGUAACGUAGCUAACGCGUGAAGUUGACCGCCUGGGGAGUACGGUCGCAAGAUUAAAACUCAAAGGAAUUGACGGGGUCAUAGCUGUUUCCU